rnacentral:rRNA from 1 species
UGGUAGUUCCACGCCGUAAACGAUGAAGUACUAGGUGUCGGGGGGUCGAAUCUCGGUGCCGCAGUCAACACAUUAAGUAUUCCGCCUGGGGAGUACGGUCGCAAGACUGAAACUCAAAGGAAUUGACGGGGACCCGCACAAGCAGCGGAGCAUGUGGUUUAAUUCGAAGCAACGCGAAGAACCUUACCAAAUCUUGACAUCCUUUUGACCAUCAUUUAAUCAUGAUCUCUCUUCGGAGCAGAAGUGACAGGUGGUGCAUGGUUGUCGUCAGCUCGUGUCGUGAGAUGUUGGGUUAAGUCCCGCAACGAGCGCAACCCUUGUCUUUAGUUGUCAUCAGGUAAUGCUGGACCCUCUAAAGAGACUGCCGGUGAUAAACCGGAGGAAGGUGGGGAUGACGUCAAAUCAUCAUGCCCCUUAUGAUUUGGGCUACACACGUGCUACAAUGGUCGGUACAACAGGCAGCGAAAGGGUAACCUGGAGCGAAUCCUCUAAAGCCGAUCUCAGUUCGGAUUGUGGGCUGCAACUUGCCCACAUGAAGUUGGAGUUGCUAGUAAUCGUGAAUCAGAAUGUCGCGGUGAAUGCAUUCCCGGGUCUUGUACACACCGCCCGUCACACCAUGGAAGUUGGGGGCGCCCGAAGCCAGUGAUCCAACCGCAAGGAGGAAGCUGUCGAAGGUGAAACCAAUGACUAGGGUGAAGUCGUAACAAGGUAACCG